GGCAGCAGCAGGAGAUUGGAGGGCAGGAGGAUUGAGAGGGCAGGUGCUGUUCCCCAUAGGAGCUCCUCCUCCUUGCCUCCAGCUCUCUGUAGGCUCUUCCACACAGUUCCUUCCCAUUGUCCCUUUUUGGCCAAGAUUGUACAUUGUUGGUGUUGUAUCUGAAAAGUCAUCGCCGACCCCAAGAUCUUCUAGAUUUUUGUUCCAUGUCAUCUUCUAGGAGUUUUAUAAUUUUCUAAUUAGAUAUGGGCAAUGUUCCAUAGAGUGGACACUGCAUCAUCAGGGGGCCCAGAGUGAGAAAGAUAUUGGAACAGAGCCCCUAGCCCAUCUGCAAUGAAUACAUAGCAUGAGUAAGAAACAAAUCUCUGCUACUUUAAACCACUGAGAAUUUCAGGAUUACUUGUUUCCUCAACAUCACCUAGCAUAUCCAGUCUGUUACAAAGUAUCAGAAAGUUGUGAUAAGUUCAUUAAAGCAUAUUGUAGACUGUGAGAUGAGGGAGUGACACUGGGCUCAUGCUGGUUAUAGACAACAAGGAUGGAUAGUCCACAGCAGAUCCUGUACGGACAUGGCCAAGGAGCAGAAGGGAAGAGUGGGUCUGGGCUCAUCUGAGGCACUGCCUCUGGAUGGUGGUCCUGACACGUGAGGUCAUCUCAGUGUAUAGACCAUGCUCAUCACCAAUGGGGGCUUACAGCCUAAUUCUUGAGGGCGUGACACAGCAUGGAACUCCACAGAGGGCAAGAGGAAGGAUUAGUGGAAGUUCUGCUUUCUUUCAUCUUUAGAAAUGGAAUGCUUUUCAUCCCAAAGAAGCCCCCUCAGGCCUGAUGAGUAGGAACAAAGAGCCAUGGCCUGAAACUACAUACUGUGCUUCAGAUCCCGAGGAGCUCAGCAUUUGGUGGGUGUGCUUCUGAGUAACGAGAUGGGAAGAGAGAGCAUAUUUCUUAAGCACGUACUAUGUGCCAGGCACCAUACCAGGCUUUCUGUUGACACAUUAGCUUUGAACCUUAAUACCAACAUUUGGAUCCCUUGGAAGAUGCAUCUCAAAGCAGUUAAACACUUAUCAAAGAUCUUGUCCAAUAAAAAAAAAAAAGAAAAAAAAAAAAGAUCUUGUCCAGUGAAUGAUCAAGCAGGAUCCAAAGUCAAGUCUGGGUGACUCUAAUGCCUUGAGCUUCUUUUGGCUGAUCCCAUUCCUCCUCCUUCUCCAGGCCUUUUUUUUUUUUUUUUAUAUUCUAAAAAGUGGAGACCAAAAUGGAAAUUGAGGUCCUCAAGGAGGCCCUCCCAUCCAGAGAAAAUAAUUCUUCCCCAUUUAAAUAAUUAACAUACCGUGCUCUGGAGCAUUAUUUCAAUUCUGACCCUCAGGGGUUCGAAUUUGCCUCCCUGGAACAGAAUGCCGAAUGAAUGAAGAUGACAGCCCUGGAACGUUUCUCCAGAUGUUGCAGAGACACUACUGGCAAAAUGAAAUGUGAUAACAAGGAUGACGAAUUUGUCCAUGACCUCACGGUGGUUCUGCUGCUGUGUGCGAAGCUAUGUUCUGGGACCUCUGUGGACCACAAGGGCCAAUGAACACCCGGUCGGAGGUGAGACCCUAUGGUCCUAUUUCCCCGGAGGGACUCGGUGUGGUGGUGUUAUUCAACACAGAAGGGACCAGACUAAACUGUACUCACUCAUAAAGAUAAUCAUACAAACUUCUGCUAGACGUCUCGGACAGUGCGCCAACAAGCAUUCUUCAGGGUCAGGUUUGUUCCGCAAAGUGUUGCCUGAUUUAACAAUAAUAAUAAAAUUGACGAGGAGGAGAGAGGCCUGCGGAUGCUAAACUCCUUCGUCUGUGAGGCCAGUGAAGUCCUUAAAACAAAAUAUCAACAACAACACAGCAGACACUUGCGCUUGGAGCCUCUGAGUGGCUUCUGACUUCUUGGUAAUUCUGUAAGUGCUCCUAAGUUAAGUUGAGGGCCGAGCAAGAGAGAGAGAGAGAGAGAGAGAGAGAGAAAGAGAGACACACCAACAACCACAAACAGAAACCUUUUGGAAGAGCCUAAAGAUCCAGCAAUGGCAUGUCUCCCAUUUUCCAUCUUUUAUUUAACUCCUUUGAACUCCCACUAAUUUCCAGGCAACACUUUGGAAUUCCAUUUUUAGCGCUGCCUUUUGAAUUAUUAUCCUCCCCCCCACCCCCGCUGUGGUGUACAAAUCUGUUACAGAGCU